ACAAUUAUUUAAAUUUCACUCUUUGCUCAGCACAAAACCCCUCCUCUCUUCUUUUAGCUUGGACCCAGAACUGUCUCCUUCAAACCAAUGUCCUGUCAGUUUGGCUCCAGGCAGUGUAAUGUUCAACCAAUCGGCUGCUGCUGAGUGGAGCUGGAAUUUCACCUGGAGGGGAGCAGCACUCUGCAGAGGAUGUCAUUGACUGAGAUUGUCAGGACAUCUACAUACAGUAUUAAAAGGAGAGACAAACAACUUUCUGCUUGGAGUUGGGAAAAUGUCACCAGGCACUUUUUGUGAUUGUGUCCGAUCUAAAUAUAGAGUUCUGCUGUCUGUUCUACAUUUUUGAACCAUU